CUUGUGAUCGAUCAUUAUUUUUCUAGUUAACCCUUGUCAGUCUACAGUUAUUUUAUCAACUCUCAUCAUAGAACUUGAAAUAACAUUGAAGAACCAAUCUUCAUUCUCCUCAUCAAUCCUUGCUAAUUUAUAAUCUUUUAUCAUAAAUCUCAUAAAUCUUGAAUCAAGGUAUUCUGAGCACUAUAAGAUGUAUCUUUAUCUUUUAUAUUAUCUCUUGUUGUUCUUCACUCUUUGACUUUAAACAUGAUAAUGUGAAAACCCGUGAUCAACCUUUAUCAAUUUUCUUAACCUUCCUUGAUCUUUCUUUUCUACCUAUGC
rnacentral:lncRNA from 1 species